CGAGGAGGAUAAGGUGAUCGCGGUCCGGCGCCGGCAACGGUGAUCGGGUCGAGGAAAGUCCGGGCUCCACAGGGCAGGGUGCUGGCGUAGGCCAGUCGGGGCGACUCGAAGGAAAGUGCCACAGAAAUACAACCGCCCGCGUUCGCGCAGGUAAGGGUGAAAAGGUGCGGUAAGAGCGCACCGGGCCGCUGGUGACAGGGGUCGCAUGGUAAACCCCACCUGGAGCAAGGCCGAGUCGGGACAGCUCGUAUCUCCUUCGGGGGCUGCAAGCAGGGGCUGCCCGUCCCGUCCCAGGUAGCGCCGCACAGAUGAAUGAUGACCACCCGGGGGAGGUAACAAACCCGGGGACAAAACCCGGCUUACGACCUCUCUCGACCG
rnacentral:RNase_P_RNA from 1 species